rnacentral:rRNA from 1 species
CUGACACAGGUGCUGCAUGGCUGUCGUCAGCUCGUGCGUGAGAUGUUGGGUUAAGUCCGUAACGAGCGCAACCCUGUCCUUAGUUACCAGCACGUUAUGGUGGGCACUCUAAGGAGACUGCCGGUGACAAACCGGAGGAAGGUGGGGAUGACGUCAAGUCAUCAUGGCCCUUACGGCCUGGGCUACACACGUGCUACAAUGGUCGGUACAAAGGGUUGCCAAGCCGCGAGGUGGAGCUAAUCCCAUAAAACCGAUCGUAGUCCGGAUCGCAGUCUGCAACUCGACUGCGUGAAGUCGGAAUCGCUAGUAAUCGUGAAUCAGAAUGUCACGGUGAAUACGUUCCCGGGCCUU